rnacentral:rRNA from 1 species
AGAGACCUCAAGCGUUAUCCGGAAUCAUUGGGCGUAAAGCGUGCCGAUAGGUGGUUUUAUUAGUCUUGGGUAAAAGCCAGAAGCUUAACUUCUGAGUUUGCUUAAGAUACUGUAAAACUAGAGGGGCAAAGAGGUGCUUGGAACGAAUGGUGUAGUAGUGAAAUGCGUUGAUAUCAUUCGGAACACCGAAAGCGAAGGCAGAGCACUGGGUGCCACCUGACACUGCUAGGACGAAAGCGUGGGGAGCGAAUGGGAUUAGAUACCCCAGUAGUCCACGCUGUAAACGAUGAAUACUAGGCAUGCGCGAGUAUCGACCCUCGUGCGAGCCGUAGCUAACGCGUUAAGUAUUCCGCCUGGGGAGUACGGUCGCAAGACUA